rnacentral:snRNA from 1 species
GUGCUUGCUUCGGCAGCACAUAUACUAAAAAAGGAACAAUAGAGAGAAGAAUAGCAUGGCCCCUGUUCAAGGAUGACACCCAAAUUCGUGAAGUGUUCCACAUUAAA